CCACGUACUAUAGAGAUUAUUUAAUUAAUUUUUGAUAUUUAUAUUACGCACUCGAUUUUACACGUUUGAUUUAAAAUGCAAUUUAGUUAAUGAAUGAAAAUGUUCUGAAACGAUUUAAUUAAUACACUUCUUCAUUGUGAAAACAGUAGAAAACUAUAUGUGUAUAUAGUAAAGGAACAGGAUAUUACGUGUUUAUUAUCUGCACAAGCAGUUCUUAUCGUUAGUAUUUCUCUUGCCUCUGGUUAGUAGAUACUCGUGUUUCUGCUUCUACGAAUGGAAGUAAGAUUUCAUUCUAAAUAGAAAGCGUAUAAUGAAAGAAAAUACGAAUGAACAGAAUAUUCGUAUAGAUCAAGUGGUGCUAUACGUCGUUGAUCGAUACGAAUGAACGAAACGUUCGUCGAUUCACCUUCAACGUUACGUCAAACGUAUUUGUAUCAGGGACAAACGAUCGUAGGAUUUCACGAACGCAUGAAAGCACAUCGAGGAGUACACUCCGGCGGGACAUCGCCGCAAUGCAGCUUUAUCUAUACCGGGCUGUUCCGCACCAUACGGGCCAUUGCUCGAUUUACGAUUCCAGAAAACAUACGUUCACAAAGCUCGAUCUACUCGUCGUGUACCAUAAUGCAGCUCUUUAACUACCACGAUGUCAUUUAAACAGCCAAAUAACGAACAUUCGAAGUAUUAUCCAAGCCAUGAACAACGAGGAUGAGAAGAAUGUCUGAUGCGCGAGAUGAAUGAAAAUGAAAAAGGAUAGGAUUUCGAGAGCUUCACAUUGAUUUGAGGAGAGAAACGGUGGAUUGUUCAAACCAGACUAGUCGUUCACCCACAUCAAGAAUGUUUUCAUUGCGUUAAUGAAGUGUCCGACGAAUAUUUCAACGAUUUAAUAAAUAAAGAAUAUACCGUGCGGUAAAA